rnacentral:rRNA from 1 species
GGACGCAGGUCUGAUGGAGCAACGCCGCGUGAGUGAAGAAGGUUUUCGGAUCGUAAAGCUCUGUUGUUGGUGAAGAAGGAUAGAGGUAGUAACUGGCCUUUAUUUGACGGUAAUCAACCAGAAAGUCACGGCUAACUACGUGCCAGCAGCCGCGGUAAUA